UGUGGAAGGUGGUGUAUAGAUAACCCUAU
rnacentral:piRNA from 1 species